CCUACGGGUGGCUGCAGUGGGGAAUUUUGGACAAUGGGCGCAAGCCUGAUCCAGCCAUUCCGCGUGAGUGAAGAAGGCCUUCGGGUUGUAAAGCUCUUUCGCAAGGGAAGAAAACUUAUCCUCUAACAUAGGAUGAGGUUGACGGUACCUUGAUAAGAAGCACCGGCUAACUACGUGCCAGCAGCCGCGGUAAUACGUAGGGUAUGACUGUUCAUCGGGAUUACUGGGCCUAUAUUGUAAGCAGGCUGUGAAAUCCCCGAGCUCAACUUGGGAACUGCGUUUGAAACUACAAGACUAGAAUAGGUCAGAGGGGGGUAGAAUUCCACGUGUAGCAGUGAAAUGCGUAGAGAUGUGGAGGAAUAUCAAUGGCGAAGGCAGCCCCCUGGGAUCAUAUUGACGCUCAUGCACGAAAGCGUGGGGAGCAAACAGGAUUAGAUACCCUUGUAGUC
rnacentral:rRNA from 1 species